CCUUACCUGGUCUUGACAUCCACAGAACUUUCCAGAGAUGGAUUGGUGCCUUCGGGAACUGUGAGACAGGUGCUGCAUGGCUGUCGUCAGCUCGUGUUGUGAAAUGUUGGGUUAAGUCCCGCAACGAGCGCAACCCUUAUCCUUUGUUGCCAGCGGUCCGGCCGGGAACUCAAAGGAGACUGCCAGUGAUAAACUGGAGGAAGGUGGGGAUGACGUCAAGUCAUCAUGGCCCUUACGACCAGGGCUACACACGUGCUACAAUGGCGCAUACAAAGAGAAGCGAACUCGCGAGAGCAAGCGGACCUCAUAAAGUGCGUCGUAGUCCGGAUUGGAGUCUGCAACUCGACUCCAUGAAGUCGGAAUCGCUAGUAAUCGUGGAU
rnacentral:rRNA from 1 species